UCCGGGGUAGCUCAAUUGGCAGAGCAUCCGGCUGUUAACCGGAGGGUUGCGGGUUCGAGUCCCGCCCCCGGAG
rnacentral:tRNA from 2 species